rnacentral:misc_RNA from 1 species
CCUAGAGUUGUAGGCUUUGCCUGCUAUCUCUUACCCAUGUCUUUUGAGUACCUUACGUUUCCUCGGCGGGUCCGCCCGCCGAUAGGACAAUUUAAACCAUUUGCAGUUGCAAUCAGCGUCUGAAAAACUUAAUAGUUA